UAAAAACCCCGACUUCGGAAGGGGUGUAUUUAUUAGAUACAAAACCAAUGCCCUUCGGGGCUCUUUGGUGAUUCAUGAUAACUAUACGAAUCGCACGGCCUUGCGCCGGCGAUGGUUCAUUCAAAUUUCUUCCCUAUCAACUUUCGAUGUUUGGGUAUUGGCCAAACAUGGUUGCGACGGGUAACGGAGGGUUAGGGCUCGACCCCGGAGAAGGAGCCUGAGAAACGGCUACUACAUCCAAGGAAGGCAGCAGGCGCGCAAAUUACCCAAUCCCGACUCGGGGAGGUAGUGACAAUAAAUACUGAUACAGGGCCCUUUCGGGCCUUGUAAUUGGAAUGAGUACAAUUUAAAUCCCUUAACGAGGAACAAUUGGAGGGCAAGUCUGGUGCCAGCAGCCGCGGUAAUUCCAGCUCCAAUAGCGUAUAUUAAAGUUGUUGUGGUUAAAAAGCUCGUAGUUGAACCUUGGGCCUGGCUGGCCGGUCCGCCUCACCGCGUGCACUGGUCCGGCCGGGCCUUUCCCUCUGUGGAACCCCAUACCCUUCACUGGGCGUGGCGGGGAAACAGGACAUUUACUUU
rnacentral:rRNA from 1 species